rnacentral:lncRNA from 1 species
UUUUUUCAAAAAUGUGUAAAAUUACAUGUAGCUUUGAAAUAUGGUUGUAUGAUAAAAACAUGAAGAAUAUAUUUUAGUGAGGCAACUGUAUAUUUCCAAUGACUGGAAUGAUUAUGGAUGUCACAUUCUAUGGAGAUAAUUCGCCUAAACCAAUGUUCACGUACCAGUAGUUCUAGUAAUUCUCAAAAUUAUAACCCAGUUAAAUUGAUGUAAGGUUAAAUGUUAGAAUUUAUGAUGUUUAUCUUAUAAUCUGAUCAAUUUUUUAUCAUUGAUAAAAAGAUGAGGAGUUAAGCAUUGCUUUUCAAUACCACUGGUGAUGUGAGAAUUCAUGGUAAUGACCGUACAUAUUAAGAAUUUAGUCUGUGACAUCCCUAAUUAUCACAAGUCAUUAUUUAAAAUAUCUACUAAUGUUACCAGUAUCCUUUUAAUUUUUUUGUAAAUUAAUUUCUUUGUAUAUUGAUGUAUAUUUUGGUUUAACCUUUGGUUUUCCCUUGAGAGCUUCUUUAAUAUACUUGAAUGAGGCAAUAAAGCACUGUGGAACAGCUAGGCUUGGUGCAGCUUAUACACAAGCACAUCUUGUCUGUUCCUUCAUGAUUUUUGAGGAGGAAGAGAAAUUUGAAAUGCUUACACGUUUAGCCAACUGACAAUUAGUGUUUGUUACUUUCAGAUCUGUGCCAGAUGUGAGAAAUGCCUCAACAUGGAACAAAACAAGAUUAUGUAUCCCCAUCCUACUACUUUUUUUUUCAGAACUUUUUGUUUUGGUUAGCUUUUGAAACUGUUCCUAAUAAUGUCCUCUUUGUAAGCCUUUAAUACUUACAGGAAAGGCAUAAAGUACAAGGCAUUUUGAGGUUUUAUUGAUCAUUUUAAUAAUUUCAGAGAUAUAAAAGACCCCAAACAACCAGCAUUGUCCUAACAGUUUUAAAAAUGUAGUUAGUUACUGACCGUUAAUAAAACUAGAACCAAAUCUAAGAAUUUACUCCAUGCUUUUGCACCCUCUGGACUACUGUUCAAAGUCAUCUCAAGAACUGUAAUUCAGACCUUAGACUACUGUCAGUAGCGCACUGUCUAGAUGUAGUAAAUGAGCUGUGAUGUUUGGUGUGUUUUGUUUUUUGCUUUAUCCUUCCAAAUUUGUGGCGUCAGUAGAAGUUUUUGGUGAACUCCACAUUACCAUAAAGUGCCCAACACUGUACUAUAAAAUAAAACUUAACAAUAUCAGAA